UGCUGACGAGUGGCGAACGGGUGAGUAAUAUAUCGGAACGUGCCCAGUCGUGGGGGAUAACGCAGCGAAAGCUGUGCUAAUACCGCAUACGACCUACGGGUGAAAGCAGGGGAUCUUCGGACCUUGCGUUAUUAGAGCGGCCGAUAUCUGAUUAGCUAGUUGGUAGGGUAAAGGCCUACCAAGGCGACGAUCUAUAGCUGGUCUGAGAGGACGAUCAGCCACACUGGGACUGAGACACGGCCCAGACUCC
rnacentral:rRNA from 1 species